UACAUGCAAGUCGAACGCACUCUCGUUUAGAUUGAAGGAGCUUGCUCCUGAUUGAUAAACAUUUGAGUGAGUGGCGGACGGGUGAGUAACACGUGGGUAACCUGCCCUAAAGUGGGGGAUAACAUUUGGAAACAGAUGCUAAUACCGCAUAAAACCUAACACCGCAUGGUGUAGGGUUGAAAGAUGGUUUCGGCUAUCACUUUAGGAUGGACCCGCGGUGCAUUAGUUAGUUGGUGAGGUAAAGGCUCACCAAGACCGUGAUGCAUAGCCGACCUGAGAGGGUAAUCGGCCACACUGGGACUGAGACACGGCCCAGACUCCUACGGAGGCAGCAGUAGGGAAUCUUCCACAAUGGACGAAAGUCUGAUGGAGCAACGCCGCGUGAGUGAAGAAGGUUUUCGGAUCGUAAAACUCUGUUGUUGGAGAAGAAUGUAUCUGAUAGUAACUGAUCAGGUAGUGACGGUAUCCAACCAGAAAGCCACGGCUAACUACGUG
rnacentral:rRNA from 1 species